rnacentral:rRNA from 1 species
AAACUCAAAGGAAUUGACGGGACCCGCACAAGCGGUGGAUGAUGUGGUUAAUUCGAUGCAACGCGAAAACCUUACCCACCUUUGACAUGGCAGGAAUCCCGAAGAGAUUUGGGAGUGCUCGAAAGAGAACCUGCACACAGGUGCUGCAUGGCUGUCGUCAGCUCGUGUCGUGAGAUGUUGGGUUAAGUCCCGCAACGAGCGCAACCCUUGCCAUUAGUUGCUACGAAAGGGCACUCUAAUGGGACUGCCGGUGACAAACCGGAGGAAGGUGGGGAUGACGUCAAGUCCUCAUGGCCCUUAUAGGUGGGGCUACACACGUCAUACAAUGGCCGGUACAGAGGGUAGCCAACCCGCGAGGGGGAGCCAAUCCCACAAAGCCGGUCGUAGUCCGGAUCGCAGUCUGCAACUCGACUGCGUGAAGUCGGAAUCGCUAGUAAUCGCGGAUCAGCAUGUCGCGGUGAAUACGUUCCCGGGUCUU